CUCUAGGAUCUUCUAAGAUCCACAAAAUCCUCAUGAGAUCUAUA
rfam:Picea glauca, whole genome shotgun sequence.